rnacentral:rRNA from 1 species
GAGUUUGAUCCUGGCUCAGAUUGAACGCUGGCGGCAUGCUUUACACAUGCAAGUCGGACGGCAGCACAGAGAAGCUUGCUUCUUGGGUGGCGAGUGGCGAACGGGUGAGUAAUAUAUUGGAACGUACCGAGUAAUGGGGGAUAACUUGCCGAAAGGUAAGCUAAUACCGCAUACGCUCUGAGGAGGAAAGCAGGGGACCUUCGGGCCUUGCGUUAUUCGAGCGGCCAAUAUCUGAUUAGCUAGUUGGUGGGGUAAAGGCCUACCAAGGCGACGAUCAGUAGCGGGUCUGAGAGGAUGAUCCGCCACACUGGGACUGAGACACGGCCCAGACUCCUACGGGAGGCAGCAGUGGGGAAUUUUGGACAAUGGGCGCAAGCCUGAUCCAGCCAUGCCGCGUGUCUGAAGAAGGCCUUCGGGUUGUAAAGGACUUUUGUCAGGGAAGAAAAGGUUGUGGCUAAUAUCCAUGACUGAUGACGUACCUGAAGAAUA